UACAGAGGUCUCAAGCGUUGUUCGGAUUCAUUGGGCGUAAAGGGUGCGUAGGCGGCGCGGUAAGUCGGAUGUGAAAUCCCGAGGCUCAACCUCGGGUCUGCAUCCGAUACUGCCCGGCUAGAGGUAGGUAGGGGAGAUCGGAAUUCCUGGUGUAGCGGUGAAAUGCGCAGAUAUCAGGAGGAACACCGGUGGCGAAGGCGGGUCUCUGGGCCGAUACUGACGCUGGAGGAGCGAAAGCGUGGGGAGCGAACAGG
rnacentral:rRNA from 1 species